UGCUUUCCGACCAUGGUGAGAAGCAGGAAAAGUUAACCCUCUCCUUGAUUUCAUGUUGUUUAUGGAGACGGAGAACCAGAAAAUGAGUAGGGGGAAAUUCAACGCUACAAAGCCCAAGCCGAGUGGACUAAUCACAGA